GUGCAUCUUAACUUUCUCUUCCCCUUCUUUUACAGGUGGACCAUCUCCUGUGGCAGCAACAGCUGCAUUGUGCACCUUUGCACCCUUAGCUGUCUGCAAAAAUUAAUGAUAUAAGGAAUAAAACCUACAUAAAGGGUUACUCGCCAAAUAGGGCAGCUUGUUAAUCCAUAUCAAUCAACAGCAAAAAGAAGCAAGAUUUGUUCUGUAUAAAUUACUAGACGUCAACCUUUAUAUAUAAGGGAAAGAUUACUAUAAUUCAUCAAAUAGAGAUCGAUGGACUACUAGGACAACCACAAUGCACAAACUACGAAGAUUAAUUGGAAUGGCAGAAUCAUCUAGCAUAACCUAAAAUGAAAUUUAUCAAAAAGCAAUCCCUCAUUACAUCUUCCAUCAUAAGAUUAAAGUUGCAAACGACCUUGAGGGCUUGAGUGUCCAAUAUAUCAAAAAAUAGUGUUAAACAAUAACAGAACAUAUAUACAGAGUAAAUUUUAUUUAUAAGGAACAAGUGUUAAUAACAAGGUGUUCUUGCAGGUUUAAGCAAGUUGUAAGCAAAAAAAUUGAUUCCCUGCCUUCACAACAAUAUCUAAUUACCUUUUUAAACCUGAUUAAACCCUCAUAUAUGAAGACUACAAUAACCUGGUACAUCAGCUUGACCUGCCUCAGGUUAAUCAAAUGCAAUCUAGUUCUUUCAGGAAAACUAUACAACUAUUUCUCUUUUGACACAUUUAUACCAGGGCCUUUCUUGUUAGCUUCUGGAAUUUGAGAAAAUAAAUUCUCUUGAACACACACGCGCACAUACUGGUGUUUAUCUCUUUCUAUUGUACCUCAUCUUUUAAGAGGUGUCAUAUCAGAGUUUAUCUGGUUACUGUCCAAGUCACAUGGGUUGGACUUGGAUCCCCCUUUGUGCUUUUAUCUUAGGGUUGGGGAUAAAGUGAAGUAACAGCUAAGAGCCUAAGACCAUUCUCUUAUAAUUGGCAAACCCGUAAAGCCAUUAGACAAUUUGGACCGAGGGGCCUCAAAGCUCCAGCAUUGCUUUAGGAAAUCUUGGUUUACUCAAUUUCUAUUUGAAAUGACUAAUG